UACUGUAUUGGUUUUCUUCUUGACCCAGGAUGUCUGGGAUUCAGCACCAAUUGCUGGAAGCCGGUAAGAUGAAAUUGAUCUGUCGUCCCUAGAGAUGUUGUAAUAAAAAUAACACCAGGUCUGUUCAUUUCAUACUUAAUCCCUCAGCUCCCACUGGCCCCGUAGUGAAAGUCGGGGGCUGAUUAGAGCGCACCAUGUCUCUGCAUCAUGAGCAUGGGAGGAUCUACCCGUUUGGUGGUCCGCACUCUGGACCCUGCUCCUUAGGUCUGUCUAGGAGAACUGCUGUUGGGAAUCACACGACGGACUCCCUUCGCUCUGGUGGAAAGGGUGGCGACACUGUAUGCACGGGCAGGCCUUGAAGUCCCUGUGCGCCCUGCUCACAGUGCCUAGCCAAGGGAAUGCCCUCCCCAGAGCGCUGCCCCUCCUUGGCACGGGCGGCACUCCACUUUGCUGUUGGAUGCACGGUUUGCGAGAGCAAGGCCUUAGUCUGCCUGGUCCCCCGCCACGCUGCCUUGCCUUGGAUAGUGCGUGGUGUGUAGAAGAUGCUCAGUAUAUUUAUGGAGUCAGUGGGUGCAUGACCUCCGCCAAAGGGUGGUAUCCCCUCAGGGAAGGCGUCCACCCGCAGGGCCCGCCGGCCGGCUCCCUGCACGUUGGGAGAACAGCCAGGUGGAGAAGCCCGCCUGUAUUUCUAGGCAGAGGCUCUGGACCCGACUCCAUGGCAACCUGGAAAGGGAGACAGGGAGCCCUGUGCGUCAUGGAGGGUCUGGGAUGCGCAGAGGGAAGAACACAGUCGGCUGCAGCCGCAUCUCCAGCUGAUGAACCACACUGGCCCUGCUCUACAAUCUGCUUGGAAAGACUCUCCAGGGGGCCUGAGAACCGAGUUUCCUUGGUGCAUCUGGUAGGUUCUAAAACUGAACUUGGCUCGUUAAAUCUUCUCUCAAGUGAUGUGGACUGUAUUCUCUCGACAAGGACAUGCUGGAGAAUUUCCUUCAAGGAAAUAUCUUAGAAGAUCCAUGUCACUGGGGGAGUUUAGAGAGAGAAUGAGUCCCCCCAGGAGUUCUAAUGAAUGGAAACUGUCUUUCCCACACCCCUAGCCCUACCCGAGCUUCGGGAGGCAUCACGUGAAUCAUGACAAAGAACUCAGGCCACAGUUUUGGAAUGAAUUACAAGACUGAGAUUUUUCUGCCUUCAUAAGAGACCCAACCUCUCUUCCCUUAUGCCUGCGCUUCCCUCCAGAUACACACUUUAAUAUCAUGGUCCCCAGAGGGACUGUGGGGCUGUGGUCCCAGCUCAUGAAGGCCUUCUGUGGGGAAGGCGGGGUCAUAAUGACGAUAGUACAAACCAAAGUCAUGUUCUGAAUAUCCAAGGAGUCCUAACUCCCAACUACCUCCCUGCUUUCUUCCUAAGAGCACUUAAGAUGCCCAGCUGAAAGACCACUGUAUCCGGCUUCCCUUCACCACCCCCUCUACUAACAUUGAGUCUUCCAGGCUGAUGAGAGUGGGUGGUGCUGAUGUGGCUCUGGAACCAAGAGUAGGUGCACCCACAGCUGAGGGUGUCGGCUGUGAAGUCUGCUUCCAACCUCAGUGCAGCCAGGAGGCAGAACUCAGGACAGGUUACUCUCCGGGCUCCAGAGAUUCCUGUCUGCCAAGCAGUAGAAGUUUCUAGCACAGGUGUGCUGGGCAGAUCCAAUGAUCAGAUGGUGAUGGUGGUGAUGAUAUCUUAUUAUCACUGUGACUUAUUAUCACUAUUAUGGAUAACAAAGCAACUUCAUCUGCAGUCUGAAUGUUUCUGGAAGUCAGAUAAGUGUGUGUCCUCACCUUAAAUUGAGGAAGAUGCUAAAGAGAAACCUAUUGUCUGACCCCGAUCGGUGCAGUCCAGGAAGCAAAUGAAAAGAGUAGUCUGGUUGUUUCAGAAAGGAGUUGGGGCCCCAGGAGCUGUGAGAGAUGCUGGGGCUUGGAAGCUGUGGGCACCCCCCAUGCAAUCGGGUUGAUGCAUCUUUCCCAGCACAUGACGUGCACACACCUGCCACCUGGCCGUCCUUUCUCUUGAAAUGUCCUUUACCCUCUCUGCUGAAUCACACUCCAGGGUUAAAGGAAUAACAAGGGCACCUAGAUGUCAUCAUGCCUAGACAGUGCUUUAUUCAAUCCUCAAAAUAACUCUACAGAGCAGCAAAGUGGGCACUGUUACCUCCGUUUUAUAGAUGAGGAAAAUAAAGGUCAGAGAAGGGGAUUCUUUGCUCAAGGUUGUCCAACCAACCAUCAGUAGACACUGCAGCUUCUUCUCAUGGAGUCCUUGAGACACCUCAGGGUUCCCUGGAUCCCAGUUUGAAAACCACUGCCCUAGCCACUCUCUUGUGGGUCCUUCCAGUGAGCCGUGUGGUUAUUUAUACGACUUUGGUCACCCUUUGUGGUCCUGAGGUGGUGAGAAGUGGAUGGAAUUCAGCAUGCACUGUACCCGGUGGGGCUCACCAGGUGCUUUGACAGCAAGAUGUUUUCUUUCUUAAAUCUGGAAAUGGCUGGUCUCCCCAACAGGCACAUUCUUGCCCACCCACGAAGGCUGAGGCCUAAAAUUCUCCCUAUUAACAAGCCCCUGCAGGCGCUGUGCACAGCAGAGCGGGCAGCCGCUCAGAGCCUGAUGAGCGCUUUCUGCUGGUGCGUCCAGAGGGGCAGCUUGGCUCCGUGUUCACCGUGAGAGCAUCAACAGGAAACGGAGCCGGAGCCCCUGCUGUCCUGGGCGGGACAGGUCCCCACUUCCCUCCAGGUCUGGCUCAGCUUCACCAGUGGAAUCAAAAUGGAAUGCAGGAUAUAAAUAUACUGGCCACGCUAGCAGCUGAGAAGCUCAUGGGUUUGCUUACAUGUGCACAAAAUGAAAUCUCAGCUCACGAGCAGGGGUUCUAUGAUUAUUAAAUGUGCAUUGAUGGUAGGUUUGGCAGCUCUUUGGUCUUAGGCGUGGAGCUAGAAGUUGACUCAGAGUCCCAAGUGGUGGCUCCACGCUUGUCCUCGUCUGUCAGUGGUGUUGCCCGUCUGCUUGGAGGAAGAGGCUCCUCCUGAGGCAGGAGGAUGCAGAGGAGAUAUUGGCCAGGAGCCAGUAGGGGUGGCACUUGAGCUCCCCCUACACCCAAGGGUAGGUGGAGCCAGGCGUUGACCAAACCAGAGACUUCAAAGCAGGGUCGUGGGCGACCUUCCAGGUCGUCCUAAGUCCUGGAGCUCCAGGAGAAGACGGGAAGAUGCACACACAGAAAGCAGCCACACCCAACUUCCUGACUCUCCAAGCCCAAGCUUUGAAAGGGGAGGGAGGUAGAACAGACGGCAUUUAUCUGAACUGAUGUCCCCUGACUCCCCAAGCCUGUGCAUUGAGAGGGCAGGGUGGUGGGACAGAUGGCAUUUAUCUGAACUGCCGUCGUAUCAGGACACCAGUCACCACACCUCCAUGAGCUUGAGAAGCACCUGGGAAGCUGUUUAUAGAGCGUGUGUCUGUCUCCCGACUCUCCAUACAGGCAAGCACCUCCCGCCAAGACUCUGAGUCAUUUGCGCUGAAAAGGGUCGGGAGUCCGUUCACAACACCUGGCCUUUCUGAUGUGACUGUGAGUGAGUCACCGUGUGGGAGACAAGUUCCAGAGUGAUAGUUCUCCGACCCCCAUCCCCCAGGGUCCCUGAGGGAGGUCGUGUUAGAGCCCAGGCUGCCAGACCCUCCCUGCAGCUUCUCAUGUGUGGCUCGUGGCUGGAGCUCCAGAAUCCGCUCCUCUAACAAGUUCCCUGGCAAGGCCUUGCUGCUGCUCCCGGGACUCCACUUUGAGAACUAGUCUUUUCCUGUCCUGGGGAAAACAAAAACCCAGCUUGGUCAUGUCAGUGGUCCAAGGAGAGGAAACCAAGCCUUGCUCAUCUUUUCUUCCCCAGCACAGCAGGCUCACGCUUGGCUAAUUAAAUGCACCUGGAGAUCUUUUAGAAUGUUCCCAUGAUGUUCUUUUUCUUUUUACUGAGAUGCGUUUGAUGUACAAUAUUACAGAGUUUCCGACUGUACGACAUAGUGAUUCACCAUGCUUACGAAUAUACUCCACUCACAGUUAUAAAGCUUGACUGUACUCCCUGCUGUACAGCAUGUCCUUCUAGCUUCUUUAUUUUGUGCGUAGGCAUGUCUGUCUCUUGGUCUGCGCCCCCUAGCUCGCCCCUCUCCUUUACCUCUCCCCGCCUGUGACCACUUGUUUGUUCUCUAUAUCCACGACAUCAUGGCCAUCCAAGUCUGAGAUGGGAAAGAAUUUCCAGACACAGAGCAUUUCAGAGGGGAGUGAGUUUAUUAAGAGCAAGGAGCAGAGAUAAUAAAGGCGCUGCAAGCACAGUGGGCCGACCUCCGGACAAGGAGAGUCAGUGCUUUUUGUGGGUUAGCAGCCAGUUUUUAUAGCCUCAAGACACAGAAAAGUCCUGCUGGAAGGCUCGCAUUAGGUGAUUGGUUAGGGCACUAUAGGGUGAUUACUGGAAUGAGCUUUUUCGCCUAAUUUAGGGUCAAGAAAUCUGCUGGUGACGAUCAAGGGGGCGUUGGCAAUGGUUACAAAGGGGCUCAGUCAGCUUCGGUGGCCUUGGUUCUGGGCUCCACGUCUGUGGCUUGGGGCAGGGCUCCACAUGCGAGUUUGUCUCUUUUUUGUUAUAUUC
ensembl:lincRNA